AACUUUUGACAAUGGAUCACUUGGCUCCCGCAUCGAUGAAGAACGCAGCGAAAUGCGAUACGUAAUGUGAAUUGCAGAAUUCAGUGAAUCAUCGAAUCUUUGAACGCACCUUGCGCCCCUUGGAAUUCCGAGGGGCACACCCGUUUGAGUGUCGUGAACAUCCUUCAACCUUUCUUGGUUUCUUGACCGGGGAAGGCUUGGACUUUGGGGGUCUUUCAUUGCUUGCCUCUUUGAAGCCAGCCCCUCCUAAAUGGAAUAGUGUGGUCUGCUUUGCCGAUCCUUGACGUGAUAAGAUUUUUCUACGUCUUGGGUUUCGCACUGUCGCUUUAGACCCCGCUUCUAACCGUCUUGCAUUCAAGACAGAGUUUUAAACCUUGACCUCAAAUCGGGUGAGACUACCCGCUGAACUUAAGCAUAUCAAUAAGCGGAGGCU
rnacentral:misc_RNA from 1 species